rnacentral:rRNA from 2 species
GAUUUAAUCGACUAAAAUUCUAGGUAGAUUUAUGAUGAUGACAUUAUCUAUCUAUGUGUCUUGACCAAAUUACGUGCCAGCAGUCGCGGCAAGACGUAGAAGACUAGUGUUAUUCAUCUUUAAUAGGUUUAAAGCGUACCUAGACGGUAAUUAAAGCCUACAUCAGGUACUUGUUUACUAGAGUUAAAUGUAAGGGUGUAUUAAAGUACUGUUGAGUGUAGAGAUGAAAUUCGUUGAUACCAAAUAAUUGGCACAGGUAUAGGCGAAAGCAUCACCUUAUGUAAUAACUGACGUUGACGGACGAAGGCUUUGUGUCGCGAACAGGAUUAGAUACCCCAGUAGUCUUAGCAGAAAACUAUGAGUGUCAUAGGUUAGAUUUUAUCUGGUCUAUAAAUGAAAGUGUAAGCACUCCACCUCAAGAGUAAUUUGGCAACAUUGGAACUGAAAUCAUUAGACCGUUUCUGAAACCAGUAGUGAAGUAUGUUGUUUAAUUUGAUGAUCCGCAAAGAACCUUACCACAAUUUGAAUAUAAAUGAUUUAUUUUUACAAGCGUUGCACGGCUGUCUUCAGUUAAUGUCGUGAGAUAUUGGUUUAUUCCAUUAAAUUAACGUAAACCCGUACUUUAUUUUUAUAUAAAGUUUUUCAUUCGCUAUAAUGAAUAGUGAUAACAGGGACUAAGACAAGUCAUCAUGGCCUUAAUAUUGUGGG